UGAGGAAUAUUGGGCAAUGCCCGCAAGGGUGACCCAGCAACGCCGCGUGGAGGAUGAAUGUCGUAAGAUUGUAAACUCCUGUUAGAGGGGAAGAAUAGUACCGGUUGGACCGGUAUAUGACUGUACCCUCAGAGAAAGCCCCGGCUAACUACGUGCCAGCAGCCGCGGUAAUACGGAGGGUGCGAGCGUUAAUCGGAAUUACUGGGCGUAAAGCGCACGUAGGCGGUCUGGUAAGUCGGAUGUGAAAGCCCCGGGCUUAACCUGGGAAUUGCAUUCGNUACUGCCUGACUGGAGUAUGGGAGAGGGAAGCGGAAUUUCCGGUGUAGCGGUGAAAUGCGUAGAUAUCAAGAGGAACACCUGAGGUGAAGACGGGUUGCUGGGCCGACACUGACGCUGAGGCGCGAAAGCCAGGGGAGCAAACG
rnacentral:rRNA from 1 species